GGUUGAUCCUGCCAGUAGCAUACGCUUGUCUCAAAGAUUAAGCCAUGCAUGUCUAAGUAUAAACAAAUCUAUACUGUGAAACUGCGAAUGGCUCAUUAUAUCAGUUAUAGUUUAUUUGAAGGUCCUUGCUACUUGGAUAACCGUAGUAAUUCUAGAGCUAAUACAUGCAUCAAACCCCGACUUUUGGAAGGGGUGUAUUUAUUAGAUGGAAACCAAUGCGGGGCAACCCGGUAAAUGGUGAUUCAUAAUAACUUUCGGAUCGGUCUUCGGAUCGAUGCUUCAUUCAAGUUU
rnacentral:rRNA from 1 species